UAAAUUUGCAGGUAGAAAUACGCUGUAUACUCAUGAUAUCGAAUUUGCGUUUAAGCGAUAUGUAAUAUCGUCGAUCAUGAGGCCACCUAAUGGUGGCUUUUUUUAUUA
rnacentral:sRNA from 1 species